AGCUUUGUGCAGUGGCAGUAUCAUAGCCAAUGAGGUUUAUCUGAGGCACGAUUAUUGCUAAUUGAAAACUUUCCCAAAUACCCUACUGCGAUGACUUGCAAUAUAGUCGGCAUUGGCAAUUUUUGAGUCUCUACAGAGA
ensembl:snRNA U4 U4 spliceosomal RNA